GUGCCAGCAGCCGCGGUAAUUCCAGCUCCAAUAGCGUAUAUUAAAGUUGUUGUGGUUAAAAAGCUCGUAGUUGAACCUUGGGCCUGGCUGGCCGGCCCGUUUCACCGCGUGCACUGGUCCGGCCGGUCCUUUCCCUCUGUGGAAACCCAUACCCUUCACUGGGCGUGGUGGGAAAACAGGACAUUUACUUUGAAAAAAUUAGAGCGCUCCAGGCAGGUCUAUGCUCGAAUACAUUAGCAUGGAAUAAUAAAAUAGGCGGCGCGGUUCUAUUUUGUUGAUUUAUAGCCCCGCCGUAAUGAUUAAUAGGGACGGGGGGGGGCAUCAUUAUUCAACUGUCAGAGGUGAUUUUCUUGGAUCAGUUGAAGACUAACUACUGCGAAUGUUUUUGCGAAGGUUGUUUUCAUUAAUCAGGAACGAAAGUUAGGGGAUCGAAGACGAUCAGAUCCCGUCGUAGUCUAAACAAUAUACUAUGCCGACUAGGGGGCGGAGGUUGUUAUUCAUGACCCGUGCGGCACUUUACGAGAAAUCAAAGUGUCUCGCCCUCGAGGGGGAGUAUGCGCCGCAAGCCUGAAUUAUAAAGAAAUUGGCGGACGCCCCCCAGCGGGGGGGCGAGCCUGGCGAAUAAAGUUGACUCAGGAGGGGCAACCUCCGCACGCCCAGACACAAGAGGGAUUGACAGAGUGCUCUCUCUCUCUUGUUUGUGGGGGGGGGCGCCGCCUCGCUCGUUCGUGAGUUGGGGGGGUUGUCUUUGUCUUGCUUAAUUACAAAAACGAAAGAUACCUUUAUCUAGCUAAAUAGCUCGCAUUGCUCCGGGGGUGCGCUUGUAUUCUUAAGAAUCACUCUUCCGCUCAAGCGG
rnacentral:rRNA from 1 species